rnacentral:lncRNA from 1 species
CACAUUGAGAUUUACUUUUUUUCGUACUCUUCAUUCCUUCUGAUAUCUCUGAGCUUCCAAUUAGGAUUUUCAUUCUGCCUGAAGAACAUCUUAUAGUUUUCUUCUUUAUUAUAGUCUGCUGGUAGAGAAUUAUUUCAGUUUUUGAUAUUUGAAAAUAUUUCUCACCUUCAUUCUUAAGUGAUACUAAUUAUUUUUAACUUUAAAUAAUUUCAAGAUUAUAAAAAAGUUACAAAAUCAGUACAGAGAGUUCCCAUAUACUCUUCAUCCAGUUUCCUCUAACAUAAACAUAUGAUACAGCCAUAAUACAGCCAUGAGAAUCAGGAAAUUAGCAUUGAUACUAUACUAUUAACUAAUUUACAGACCUUAUUCAAUUUCAUCAGUUGUCCUACUAAUAUUCUUUUUCUGGAUGAGGAUCCAAUCCAGGGUUUUACUUUCGUUGAAUUUAGUUGUCAUGUCUCUUUCAUCUUCUUUACUCUGGGACAAUUGCUUAGUCUUUAUCUUUCAUGAUCUUGACACUUUUGAAGACUUAUGACCAGUUAUUUUGUAGACUUUCCCUCAGUUUUGUUUUUCUUGAUGGUUUUUUUGUGAUUAAGUGAAGGUUAUACGUUUUUGGUGAGAACAUCAAGAAAUGACAGUGUGCCAUUCUCAGUACAUCACAUUGGGAGGCGUGAGCUUUUGUUAUAUCUCAUUACUGCUCAUAUUAACUCAGAUCACUUGGUUCAAGUGGUAUUUUUCAGGUUUCUCCAUUGUAAAGUUACUGGUUUUCCCUUUGUAAGUAAUAUGCAUUUUGCGGGAGAUACUUUGAGACUAUGUGUGUUUAUAAUUUAAUGCUGUAUAACAAACUACCCCCAAAGUUAGUGGCUUUAAAAUAAUAAUGACUUAGUAUCUCAUAGUUUCUUUGGGUCAGGAAUUUGGGAGCAGCUCAGUGGGAUGGUUUGGCUCGGGGUCACGCAAGUUGAGGUGCAGUCAAGAUGUCCAUGAGGGCUGCGGUCAUCUGAAGGUUUGACUGGGGCUGGAUAAUCUCCUGCCGAGACAUCUCCCUUCCAGACUGUUGGUGAGAGGUCUCAACUAUUCACUGAAUUCAGGCAGGAGCCUCAGUUCCUCACCAUGUGGACUUCUCCAUGGGGCUCCUACAGUAUUCUCAUGACAUAGCACCUAACUUCCGCCAAAUCACGUAAGGUGGAAGCUACAAAAUCUCUAUGACUUAUCUUGACACUGUCAUUCCUGCACUGUUUUAUUGGUCAGCCCUCAAUGUGGGAGGGGACUAUGCAGCAGCAUGAGUACCAGGACUCGGGGAUCAUUGGGGGCCAUCUCCACGGCUCUUGGUUCCUCUGGGCUCUUGGCACCACCUUCUCAGUCAUCCUUCCUUUACCGUGAAAGAUAGCUGAUGUUGGCUGCAGAAUUGUGUUCUCAAUCUGUGUGUCAGUCAGGGUCCAAUCAGAAGACAAAACCACACAGUAAUUUGUACAGAGAAAGUUUAGGAUAAAGAAUUAUGAACAAGGGUGCUGGGUAACUGGCUAAUAAGAGGACUCUAAAGAAUAGAGGAAUGGCUGAUAUAGGCAGCUCUCACCACACCUGGGACUGGGAGAGAGCCCCUCCCGGAGCUAAACUCCAGACCCCAUUGGAGAGGGUGUGGGCAUGACUCACUGGAUUACAGAGAAGUUUCCUGAGGUGCCUCCCCAGCUGAACUUGCUUGAAAUCCACUGUCUGCUGUGGGAAGCUGUCCAAAGGGAGGGAGGUACCCCGCCUCAGAAUCCUACAGGCUACCUCAAGACGUGCUACAGAAGCCCUGUGAGAGGAGGAGCCUGGCUGGCAGCUCUCUUGUGUGAAACUGCUUGAGGGAAGGUGAUUGAUGGGCACCCCAUUGUUGGCACGCCACUGUGAAGCCACCGAGGGGGUGUGUCCAGGGAAAUCCACUCAUGGCUGCCUCACCCGCUGGCACUCUGCCAUGAACCACCCUGGGCAGUGGGUGUGCCAUGGAAGCAUUUGUGGGAAACUCACUGCAAGCUGCUGGGGUACCUGGGAAGCCAUCCAAGGAGAAACGUCUAGCCAGCAGCACUCAUUAAUACCAAAUGAACCAAAUUAUCAAUAUGGGGUCAAGUGUUUAUUUAAUUUUAUAAAGAAGGAAGAUAAAGAUUCUUAGUUUCAACAUAACCACCUACUCAUUUGCCAAAUUCCCAAAGUCCUGGUUGCACUCUAGCGUAGACUUAAAGAUAGCCCCAGGGUAUUGAUGGGCACACUUCAAGUGUGCAAUUCAUCAGUUUUGAUGUCUGCUUGCACCUGUGUAACCACCACCACUGUCAGGAGAACAAUCGCGUCUCCUCCAAAACCCCAUUGCCAUUUGUGAUCCGUCAUCCCUUCCGUCUCAUUCCUAGGCAACCACUGAUCUGCCCGGAGUCUUUUUAAUUGGUUAAAACAAUCUGAAAAUUUAUAUAGAAGAAUCAGUGCCUGAAAGAAUAGCCAAGAAAGGCAUGAUGAAGAAGACGGACAAGAGGCUCUUGUUUUCUCAAAUGUCAGAACGUUCUAGAAAGUCAGUGCAAUCACAGUGGUAUGGUAUUGGUCUAAGAAUAGGCAAUUAAAUCAGAGGAAGAACGGACAAGCCAGGAAUCCAACCCACUAUCUGCAAAGGGAAUUUAAGUCAUGACAAAGGCGGCAGUUCUGUUUGGUGGCAAAGGUUUCUUGACAUGGCAGACACUGUGUGUUCUCAGUCUAAUGGGAGCUCACACACAUCAAUAAUUUAAUGUAAUAUGGGCACAAUUCAAGGUUUUGCAGGUUCAGUGGGUAACAGAGGGUGUAACACUUGCGAAGGAUUUUGAAUGAUAAGUGCGUUUGUUUGAGGAACAAGGAAGUCCCGUUUUGGCCUCCUGACCUCCAGAACUGUAAGGGUUUCUACCACGUUCCCCUUGACCUUCCCUUCUACAGCCUGGCCUGAUUCGGGGGUCACGAGGCAGGAGAACCAUGGGCAAGAGGGAGCUCGGAGUGCGUAAGAGUCACCAGGAGGAGGG